rnacentral:ncRNA from 1 species
UGAAUCCGCGCGGGAGAGUUCCCGGGGACAUGACGUUCCCCCCGGGACGCCGAAGGAGCAAGUUCCUCCCUUGAAUCUCUCAGGCCCCGUACCGCGCGGGCGAG